GUAGGGGCAAGCGUUGUCCGGAAUUAUUGGGCGUAAAGCGCGCGCAGGCGGUUCAGUAAGUUGGAUGUUUAAAGCCGGGGCUCAACCCCGGUACGCAUCCAAAACUGGUGGACUUGAGUGUAGGAGAGGAAAGUGGAAUUUCCACGUGUAGCGGUGAAAUGCGUAGAGAUGUGGAGGAACACCAGUGGCGAAGGCGACUUUCUGGCCUAUAACUGACGCUGAGGCGCGAAAGCGUGGGGAGCAAACAGGAUUAGAUACCCUGGUAGUCCACGCCGUAAACGAUGAGUGCUAGGUGUUAGGGGUUUCGAUGCCCUUGGUGCCGAAGUUAACACAGUAAGCACUCCGCCUGGGGAGUACGCUCGCAAGAGUG
rnacentral:rRNA from 1 species